rnacentral:rRNA from 1 species
UACGUAGGUGGCAAGCGUUGUCCGGAUUUAUUGGGCGUAAAGCGCGCGCAGGCGGUUUCUUAAGUCUGAUGUGAAAGCCCUCGGCUUAACCGAGGAGGGUCAUUGGAAACUGGGGAGACUUGAGUGCAGAAGAGGAAAGUGGAAUUCCAAGUGUAGCGGUGAAAUGCGUAGAGAUUUGGAGGAACACCAGUGGCGAAGGCGGCUUUCUGGCCUGUUCUUGACGCUGAGGCGCGAAAGCCAGGGGAGCAAACGGG